AAGAGGACUGUUGACCUUUUUUUUUAUCAGGACCAGAAGGAGGCAGGGCUUUGGUUAGAGAUUUCCACCCAGGGCCCCAGAGUACUGUUGUGUUUCUUGACUUCUGUUUGCAGAGUUCACAAUCUGCCUGAUUGAUAGUUAGUCCCAUUGAUUGAAGUAUAACACAUAUAUUAUCAAUCUGUUUAAAUCUCUCUCUCUGCUCCAAGCCUCACAGCACAAUGUGACUGCUGCCUGGAUAACAACGAGAGAACCAAAGAAGAGACUCUGCAGUGUAAAUAACGCGCGGCUCUGCUGGGGACAGAUGGCAUGAUGCAGCAUAUCAGAGCAGUAAUCUGCAACCCCAUCAAACAUUUACAUCACCAUCCCACCCCCUUUACUGGGCAAGCAGGACAGACACAGCCCUGUGCUGCCUGCCCUGGGACAACACGCCUUGCUGGUCUCCUGUUACCAGUUACCUUCACAGAAACAUUAGGAACAGGACAUCCCUUCAUGUGUCACGCCCCGUACUGUCUGUCCUCUUGGAGACGCCAUGGAUCGACAUGAAAGGGAAGGGAAUGGAGAAUACAGUGACGACAUACCCAGGCCGAACCCGGACAACGCUGGGCCAAUUGUGCCCCGCCCUAUGGGACUCCCAAUCACGGCCGGAUGUGAUACAGCCUGGAUACGAAGCAGGGACUGUAGUGAAGCCUCCUGCACUGAGAUGCAGUGUCUUACAGUAUAUACAGCAUCUGCUCUACUUUGGAGAAGUGUAAUAUAUGCCAUUUAGCAGACACUUCUUUACAAAGCAACUUAUUCAUGCAUGAAUAUAUUUUACGUAUGCAUUUUAUGAAUACAUAUUUGAUGCCUCUGUUUAUGUGUUCCUCUUUCCCUUUGAAGCCCCACAAUACACAGGCAUAC